rnacentral:rRNA from 1 species
ACUCCUACGGGAGGCAGCAGUGGGGAAUAUUGCACAAUGGGCGCAAGCCUGAUGCAGCAACGCCGCGUGAGGGACGACGGCCUUCGGGUUGUAAACCUCUUUUAGUAGGGAAGAAGCGAUGUGCUUGUCACAUCAUGACGGUACCUGCAGAAAAAGCACCGGCUAACUACGUGCCAGCAGCCGCGGUAAUACGUAGGGUGCAAGCGUUAUCCGGAAUUAUUGGGCGUAAAGAGCUCGUAGGCGGUUUGUCGCGUCUGCUGUGAAAACUGGAGGCUCAACCUCCAGCCUGCAGUGGGUACGGGCAGACUAGAGUGCGGUAGGGGAGAUUGGAAUUCCUGGUGUAGCGGUGGAAUGCGCAGAUAUCAGGAGGAACACCAAUGGCGAAGGCAGAUCUCUGGGCCGUAACUGACGCUGAGGAGCGAAAGCAUGGGGAGCGAACAGGAUUAGAUACCCUGGUAGUCCAUGCCGUAAACGUUGGGAACUAGAUGUAGGGACCAUUCCACGGUUUCUGUGUCGCAGCUAACGCAUUAAGUUCCCCGCCUGGGGAGUACGGCCGCAAGGCUAAAACUCAAAGGAAUUGACGGGGGCCCGCACAAGCGGCGGAGCAUGCGGAUUAAUUCGAUGCAACGCGAAGAACCUUACCAAGACUUGACAUAUACGAGAACGGGCUAGAAAUAGUUCACUCUUUGGA